AGUGAACGCUGGCGGUAGGCCUAACACAUGCAAGUCGAACGGCAGCACAGUAAGAGCUUGCUCUUACGGGUGGCGAGUGGCGGACGGGUGAGGAAUACAUCGGAAUCUACUUUUUCGUGGGGGAUAACGUAGGGAAACUUACGCUAAUACCGCAUAUGACCUACGGGUGAAAGCAGGGGAUCUUCGGACCUUGCGCGACUGAAUUAGCCGAUGUCGGAGUAGCUAGUUGGCGAGGUAAAGGCCCACCAAGGCGACGAUCCGUAGCUGGUCUGAGAGGAUGAUCGGCCACACUGGAACUGAGACACGGUCCAGACUCCUACGGGAGGCAGCAGUGGGGAAUAUUGGACAAUGGGCGCAAGCCUGAUCGAGCCAUGCCGCGUGGGUGAAGAAGGCCUUCGGGUUGUAAAGCCCUUUUGUUGGGAAAGAAAAGCAGCAGGUUAAUCCCCCGCUGUUCUGACGGUACCCAAAGAAUAAGCACCGGCUAACUUCGUG
rnacentral:rRNA from 1 species